CAAUGAAUGUUUGUUGAAGUGGGAAGGACUUUCAGAAAGUCCUAGAAGAAUUGUUCUUUGGCCCUACAAACAAAACCCUUCAUUUCUUUAGUGAUUAGCAUUACAUUGAAGAUGUAAGUUUGUCUCUGCAGACUUGACUCUGUAAAUUAAGCAGGAAAGGAAUCUUUGAGAAGGGUGCCGGCUGGCGAAAGGACUGAUAAAAAGGCUGAAAAGGAGGCGCAAAAAAGGAAAGACCACAGGAGCCACGACCUUCGAGAACCCCGGACUGGGUGGAUCAAGGUGCCCAGUGAAUGAGAAGAUGCGCUGGAAAACUCCACGCAGGAUGCACGUGUGAGGGAAACAUCUCUCUCUGCUAAUUGCUGUCAGCAUCCAUCAAGAUCACCGCCCGCGAGAGCUGCAGUCCCAGCCAGAGGGGCCUUUGGGCGGGGCUGAGCUCCAUCACCAGGAAGCCAGGGGCCCAUAAGGGGCUGCACAUGCUGAGCAUCUCCACUGGGAGGCACCAAGGAGGCACACACAGCAGGAGUCUGGACCAGCAACUCAUAGACUAUGUACCUUGGAGCCACCGGCCCCUGGAGAGGCCUGAGCAACCACCAGAGGGGUCUGGAAAGACUGAGCUACAACGUGUCAGAGUCCAUCAGCCCUGCUUUCUCUCCUCUAUGCCCUAAAGAUUUUGUCAAAGGAGUUCUUCUGAUCUGAAAAGAAAGAUUUGAAAACCACAGGUCAAUGAGUUCCCAUUGUGGCUCAGCAGUA